rnacentral:rRNA from 1 species
AAUGAACGUUGGCGGCGUGGAUUAGGCAUGCAAGUCGUGCGCGAACUGUAGCAAUACAGGGAGAGCGGCGAAAGGGAGAGUAAUACAUAGGUACCUACCCCCGGGCCUGGGAUAGCGGCGGGAAACUGCCGGUAAUACCAGAUAACGUCCCCGGACCAAAGAUGUGACUUCACCUGGGGAGGGGCCUAUGGCCUAUCAGCUUGUUGGCAGGGUAACGGCCUACCAAGGCAAAGACGGGUAUGGGGCGUGAGAGCGUGCCCCCACUCACUGGGACUGAGACACUGCCCAGACACCUGCGGGUGGCUGCAGUCGAGAAUCUUCGGCAAUGGGCGCAAGCCUGACCGAGCGACGCCGCGUGCGGGAUGAAGGCCUUCGGGUUGUAAACCGCUGUCGUAGGGGAGGAAGGGCCUGUGAAGAACAGGACUUGACCGAUCCUAGGAGGAAGGGCCGGCUAAUCUCGUGCCAGCAGCCGCCGUAA